rnacentral:lncRNA from 1 species
AUCCAUCCCCGCUCUGCGCGUCCCCUGGCACACGCUCUGCCUCCCGCCCGGCCGCUCCACGUCUCUCCGCCGCGGUGGGAGCGCUCCCGCGCGCAGCCCCUCUCCGCCCGCCGCGUCGGCCCGCAGGGAAGCCAGAGGGCGAGGCCCCGGGAAGGAAGCAAAGCCUUCGACAGGCGCGAGGAACGCCCGGUGCAGCCUCCGCCCGACGGAGCGCGCUCCCUCCCAGCGCGGGGCCAGCGGGCAGAGGCCGGCGCGGGCACCGCGGCCAAGUUCAGACUGCCCCCUCCGGCUGGCGCGCGCGGAGCUCCGCACGGUCCCCGGAGCGCCCCGCAGGGAGGCGACGCGAGCCCGGGGCGUCUGCACGCGCUGAGCGCUCUCCCUGCACCCCGGGGAGGAGCGCCUCGCGCCACCCACCCGCACCCCGAGCCCCCUCCUCGGGAGCUCGGGCGCCUCCUCGCCGCUCCGCUUUCCCUCGCUCACAGCCUCCUCCCGCCCCCCCUCCCGGGGCCCCGCGCCUCCCCUCCCCCCCCGGCCCCCCGGCCCGGGCUCUCAAGGACCAGCCUGCGCUCCUGGCGCCCUCAUGUCUUCACGGGACUCCCCGCGCCGGUUGACGUGGUGUCUCUACCGGAUUUCCAGGCCAGACCUCAGCUCCGGCGGCAGCAUCAGCCCGGCCCAUCUCGUGCUCCCAGGAGCUGCGCCCCGAGAAGGCGCAGAGCGCGGCCGCCGCCGCUGAGCCGCCCGCCGCGCCCCGGGCCCGCGCAGAGCGCGGCGCGCGCGGCCGUGUCACCCCCCCACCCAAGGCAGCGGCGGCUGCCCGGACCUCGGUUUCGGGGGUGCAGGGCAUCGGCGGGGGAGCUGUCGGCGUCCCUCGCCCUCCUCGAGGCGGCGGCGGCGGGAGUCUUGGCCACCGCCUCCCGCGCGCCCUCGCUGCCCCAGGAUUGCGAACUCGUGCCCCUGACCUGUUGGGCGGGGCUCUGCGCUCCUGCCCUCGGCCCGGAUGGGGCUCCUGGCUGGGACUCGGGGCUCCUGGAGUUAAUGUCCAGCUGGGGGUCUGCGGAGACCGGAUCCGAGGUAAGUGGGAGAGCGGCCCGGGGCGGAAGGGGGCGGAUGGCGCCGGGGUCGCGGGCGGGCGGGCUGCGGGGCGCGCGGGACGCGCGGGGCGGAGGGGGCGCGCGGGGCGGAGGGGGCGCGGCUGGACCCCCGCGCGGCCGGGAAGUCGGAAGGAGGAAAGACUAG